AAUCUGCCCUGCACUCUGGGACAAGCCCUGGAAACGGGGUCUAAUACCGGAUAACACUCUCCACCGCAUGGUGGGGGGUUGAAAGCUCCGGCGGUGCAGGAUGAGCCCGCGGCCUAUCAGCUUGUUGGUGAGGUAGUGGCUCACCAAGGCGACGACGGGUAGCCGGCCUGAGAGGGCGACCGGCCACACUGGGACUGAGACACGGCCCAGACUCCUACGGGAGGCAGCAGUGGGGAAUAUUGCACAAUGGGCGAAAGCCUGAUGCAGCGACGCCGCGUGAGGGAUGACGGCCUUCGGGUUGUAAACCUCUUUCAGCAGGGAAGAAGCGAAAGUGACGGUACCUGCAGAAGAAGCGCCGGCUAACUACGUGCCAGCAGCCGCGGUAAUACGUAGGGCGCAAGCGUUGUCCGGAAUUAUUGGGCGUAAAGAGCUCGUAGGCGGCUUGUCACGUCGGUUGUGAAAGCCCGGGGCUUAACCCCGGGUCUGCAGU
rnacentral:rRNA from 1 species